UACGUAGGGUCCGAGCGUUGUCCGGAAUUAUUGGGCGUAAAGAGCUCGUAGGCGGUCUGUCGCGUCGGCUGUGAAAACACGGGGCUCAACUCCGUGCCUGCAGUCGAUACGGGCAGACUAGAGUUCGGUAGGGGAGACUGGAAUUCCUGGUGUAGCGGUGGAAUGCGCAGAUAUCAGGAGGAACACCGGUGGCGAAGGCGGGAUCCUGGGCCAGUACUGACGCUGAGGAGCGAAAGCGUGGGGAGCAAACAGG
rnacentral:rRNA from 1 species